UUCAUCAGUGGACUGCACCCAACACCUUUGCAAAACUUGUUUAUUCUUCACCACUUACAGGACGGUGCAUGACCAAACCUGAGGUGAUCUUCAAGUUGGAGCAUGGAUUUGGGCCAUGGCCUGUGGUAGACUCCUCUGUCCGCAGCCUUCCAGAUCUGAGCAUGUAUGUUGGAAAUUACUUAGCACUGUUUCAAGAACUUAACCCAGAGCAAGGAGAUGGCUCAGGGUGUGAUGGGACCCGUGCUCCUUCCGGUGGCUAAUGAAGAGAAGCCCUGAAGCUUGUUCUCUGAGCUUCGCGUGUGUGCCCUGUGUGAGUAUGGAUACAUACACAAACAGAAAUGUCAUUUGAAAAAUAGAAGACAGUAACUCGGGCAUGGGAAGAUGGCUAACUCGGUGAGAUGCUCGUUGUAGAGAAGCAUGAG
rnacentral:lncRNA from 1 species